rnacentral:lncRNA from 1 species
CUUGGAGGAUCUGCCACAUGCUGUCUCCAGAUGAUGCUGUUUGGAAGGGUUGGCUCAGAGCAGCAAACUUUGUUCUUGCACCUGGAUGCGUGCACUGAUUGACAGAAAGGAGGAAGGCUGGCAGCACAGAUUUGGCAGCUCAACAAACAAAGCUCGUGUUCUGCAAAUAACGGCAAGUGGAUGCCCUCAUUCAGGAGGCAAGUUCAAGCGUGGCUGCUGUGGAGAGUGCGGCUGCUGAUCAAUUUUGUGACAUGAAGGAUGGUGGUGUCACGACCUGGCAGGAACAGACAGUGACCGCAGGAGACGGAAGAGGAGUGGAUCCAGAUGAGGAAAUAACCCACCGGAAAACAGAAGUGCCGAGAGACAUCAGCUGCGCCGUGCUAAUCGCAGCGCUCGUGGCUGGGCUCUCCUCAUCCGCUGCUUUUGUCACACAUCGCUUUGUACCGUUUUCCUGCAGUUUUGUCAGCCAGUUCUGGGGUAAAAGAGUUGUUCUACUCAUGGGGGCGAACUUGGCACUGUGA